rnacentral:rRNA from 1 species
GAUGAACGCUGGCGGCGUGCUUAACACAUGCAAGUCGAGCGAAGCACUUAAGUUUGAUUCUUCGGAUGAAGACUUUUGUGACUGAGCGGCGGACGGGUGAGUAACGCGUGGGUAACCUGCCUCAUACAGGGGGAUAACAGUUAGAAAUGACUGCUAAUACCGCAUAAGACCACGGUACCGCAUGGUACAGUGGUAAAAACUCCGGUGGUAUGAGAUGGACCCGCGUCUGAUUAGGUAGUUGGUGGGGUAACGGCCCACCAAGGCGACGAUCAGUAGCCGACCUGAGAGGGUGACCGGCCACAUUGGGACUGAGACACGGCCCAAACUCCUACGGGAGGCAGCAGUGGGGAAUAUUGCACAAUGGGGGAAACCCUGAUGCAGCGACGCCGCGUGAGCGAAGAAGUAUUUCGGUAUGUAAAGCUCUAUCAGCAGGGAAGAAAAAAAUGACGGUAC